GUAGGUCAUUGAGUUGCUAACUUCCAGUUUGCUCGUUAGCAGAUAGCUGCGCCCCUACAGGUGAUUAGUGACUCAGAAUGUUUACAUUUUGACAGCGUUUCAUCUGUUAAAUUUGUCAGGUAGUCGUUAACGAUUUUAAACCGGACUUGAUUGUUGUCGUUUCGAUUCAUUGGACCUAGCAAACAGUAAGAAAACAAUGGACAGAGUUGGCGAGGUGUUCAGUGACCCUUGCACUGCGUGGGGUGAAAAAGGCGCCUCAUUAGACGAGACGAGACGAGACGAGGGGGCGGCACAGGGUCCAGCUGAUGGAUGGAUGGACGCUGGACAUAACAGGCUCCUCCCUCCCUGUGCUCCUCUUCCCCUCUUGGCCUCAGCUGGUGGGCUUGUAUGCUUCCAACACGACUAAUAAGGCAAGAAGCCUUGGCAGAGUUACUACUUGAGGUGCUGCAGGGCGGUCGUUGGCCUUCAGGUGGCAGCAGCGUGCCACGACGGCGUCAAAGAUGGCUGACAUAGAGAGGAGAGGUACAUUUAGAGCUCAUUAUUUCACCGAUGCUUUCAGUCCUCCCUCGUGUCGUGUUUUAAAGAGGAAGAGAAAAGAUUCCUCAAACUUGAAGUGAUGCUGUCAAAAGCUUGACGUUUAUUGUCUCAGCUCCUGUCUUCAUUGAC